UACAUAGUCCUCCCGGCUGGAGUCGGAGUAAUUCCCCCCCUGCUCGGUUCGUGGGUGUUUGAUUUCCGUUUGGAGAACCAACAUAGUCUUGUUUGUUUCUCCAAGAAUUUUUUUUCUUAAUGCGAACGGGACAGAAAGGAGAAAUGAAGAGAAGGGGAACCGCGGCUCCUGCGUGGAAAAGAAAAGCGCCCAUGCGUAAUAAGAGGAGCCGCUCCGCCAUUCUUAAUUCUCCGACGCCGUGGGCUCUUGGUGAUCGAACAGAGACGAGGGCGAUCAGCUUCCAGGAGCAGAGUGGCGAGACGAUCCUCAGCUUCCCACAAAUUCUAAUAUCACACGUUUUACACUGUGACCUUAGCCUUAAAACAAACAACAAACAAACAAACAAACAAACAAAAAGUUGUCAAAGCGCACUUAGGAUGAUUAUGUGGCUUGUAAUUUUCAUGACUUUAUUCUAAAAAAAUAAAUAAUUACAUAAAUAAACCAGAAAAUUCCACAUUUUCAAUGUAAUAAAUAAGUAACGCCACAAAAAAAAAAAAAACGUAUACGGAUUCAAUAUCAGUGUAAUCGAAACAAAGCAUCAAACUGUUGUGAGACACAUUCAAUUUCAUUUUAAAUGCAACAUCAUUGUCCAAAUCGUUGAAAAUCCCGCUGAUUGGGCCUAGAAAUAAGGUGAUUAAUCUGCAGGCCUUCUGUUGGCUCAUCCAUUGGGUUCAUAUUCAUUUAGUAACGAUUGCAAGUUUUGUUGUUGUUGUUUACCAAAUUGAAUAAAAUGUUUUUCAAAAUUAGUAUCGAAUGUGCGUUUUUCCUGAUGCUUGGGGGUUCGUUGGUGUUAAGGGGCAUCUGGUUUACAAAGAGGAGUUGGAUUUUUUUAGACAACUAUUUUUCGCAAACAGAUUCAGUGUGUCAGAAAAUGGAGCCCUAAAAACGUUUGCGUGUUUUAAAUUAACUUUACUCAGCGGCCGAAAAGCGUGAAAAACGUUUACAUCACUGUUUUUUUGUUCUAUCUUUUGAUUUUUUAUAUCCGCAAAUGAGCUCCUGAAAUGGUCAACUCACAAGGGAACUGUGUCUUUAAGAUUUUAUUUUUUUUAUCAAAUGAGAAAAAUGUCAGGAGUUUUUUUCUGAUCAUUAAAUUUUAUUUUGACUAAUUGCAGUCUUUUGUCUUUAAAAUACAGAGCCCGGGUGUUCAAGGAGUAAGAAACACUUUUUGAAAAAUACAUUUAAAUGGGGAAAAAAAAUCACGAAAUAGUUUUAAAAAAAGCAUUUGAAAUUUUAAAAAAUAUAAUUUUCCCUCAUUAUUAUUUGUAAGAAAUUCCUUCAUAUAAUACAUCCAAGAUGACAAAGAGAGAGAGAGAGAGGUGUAUGAAAAACCAAUGACUGUUUUUU